GACGAACGCUGGCGGCGUGCUUAACACGUGCAAGUCGAACGGUAAGGCCCUUCGGGGUACACGAGUGGCGAACGGGUGAGUAACACGUGGGUGAUCUGCCCUGCACUUCGGGACAAGCCUGGGAAACUGGGUCUAAUACCGGAUAGGACCACUGCCUGCAUGGGUGGUGGUGGAAAGCUUUUGCGGUGUGGGAUGGGCCCGCGGCCUAUCAGCUUGUUGGUGGGGUGAUGGCCUACCAAGGCGACGACGGGUAGCCGGCCUGAGAGGGUGACCGGCCACACUGGGACUGAGAUACGGCCCAGACGCCUACGGGAGGCAGCAGUGGGGAAUAUUGCACAAUGGGCGCAAGCCUGAUGCAGCGACGCCGCGUGAGGGAUGACGGCCUUCGGGUUGUAAACCUCUUUCAGCACCGACGAAGCGCAGGUGACGGUAGGUGCAGAAGAAGGACCGGCCAACUACGUGCCAGCCGCCGCCGUAA
rnacentral:rRNA from 1 species